CAUCAACAUUCUCACCUAAAGAGAAUGGUAAUAAUAGGUCCGCCUGGCAACAUGGUUGAGGAUAGUCCAUGAAUUAAUGAAUGUAAAACAUGGAGUAAUACAUGCUUGAUACACAUGGACUUACCUGGAGCUUCCUGGAAUUCUGAUUAUUCAUUCUAAGUAGGCCAUGAAGGACAGAUUGAAGAGAGGAUCUGAAAACCAGAACAAGAUUUGAAGCAAUGUCAAGGAUGGUAAGAUGCACACAAUCAAAGCUAGGGGAAAGGACAGAAGAGGCAGAGGAGAGCAUGCAAGCCAAGCCGACCUGUGUGGGAAGUAGGAGCCAUGUUCUAGGAAUGG